rnacentral:misc_RNA from 1 species
GAUGAAGAACGUAGCGAAAUGCGAUAAGUAAUGUGAAUUGCAGAAUUCAGUGAAUCAUCGAAUCUUUGAACGCACCUUGCGCUCCUUGGCAUUCCGAGGAGCAUGCCUGUUUGAGUGUCAUUAAAUUCUCAAGACCUGUCUGCUUUUUUGAUAGGUAUUGGAUUUUGGGGGUUGCAGGCUGUUUCAAAUAAAUAGCCUUGCUCUCCUUGAAUGUAUUAGUGGAGAAAAGCCAUUGAACUCCAUUGGUGUGAUAAAACCUAUCAAUGCCAGGAGCAAUAUCACUACUUCUCUCUGCUGUCUAACUGUGACUGUCUGUAUUAAUUAGUAUGGAUGGGGACAACUUGACCAACUUGACCUCAAAUCAGGUAGGACUACCCGCUGAACUUAAGCAUAUCAAUAACGGAGGA